ensembl:lncRNA
GGUCAUCCUGGGGUCACCCUGGGGACAGUCUAGGGAAGGAGAAGGCCGUGGCAACAGGGGGGAGGUGAGAAAGGGGGUGGGGAAAAUGGCAGCUGAGGGACUGGCCAGGAGCUGCUAUCCUUUGUCUGCCUGGCUUUUACGCGUGUGUGGGGACAAAGCCUCUCUGCUAGAAAGGGCUCCUUUUCCCUAGAGAUCUGCGGUGUGUGAGUGUGUGUGUGUGUGUGUGUGUGUGUGUGUGUGUGUGUGCGCGCGCACCGCGCCUACCCCUCUCCGAGGCUCUGGUGGGAAUGACUCAGCAACACAGCCAAGCCUGCUCCAUUCUGCCAGCUCCAUGCAUCUGCCACCCGUCCUCGGCCUUGUCCUGCUUCUUAUCCCUGCAGCACCCACACAGCUGGCCCACAGGCCUGACUCCCUGAUGCCAGUCACAAAGCCGGAAGCCAUCCUGGGGUGGGGCUGCCUCAGACCCUCCCUCAGCUCUCACCCUGGCCCCUUCCAGCUGCUUCUCUAUGCAUGGGGGUCCUCACAGGACCUCGUUCACCACUGCCCAGUGAGGACGCACUCUGACUGUCCUCAUCCACAGAUUCAGAAAAGGAGCACCACCAGGCCACCCCCCAUUUGUGCCCUCUACUGAGGGAUAGGUCUGUCCCCAGGGCUAAAGUUACCAGCACGGACACUCACUAAAGGACCGCAGCAGCAGCAAUGAAGAGAAACAGCUAGAAACAACCUGUGCUCAUCCGGAAAGAUGCUUCCUGUAAAUCACUGUGCAUCUGCAGGGCAGGACCCCCAGCAGCCACUGGAGAGGCUAGGCGCUGUCUGUGCACAUGGUGCCUUCUGGAAAUGAGAAUCAAUUGCUUAAAAACCAUAAUAUACUACAUAAAGAAAACACCGUGGUUAUCUGACUUCAGAGUUCAGACUCCAAACCCUGAGAGAGGACAGCCUAGCAGACUCUGGACUAGGGAAUUGGACUCGAGUUUUAACUAGGCAAAGAGCCACCUGGAAUAAAGACUUAUCUCCUAAUCAUCUUUGCAUGUAGAUUUGCUCACGUGACUAUGUCCCAGCAAAUGGGAGCCAAAUGGAAGUAUGAGGAUCGAACUUGGGUCCUUGCACUUGCGCAGCAGGAGGCGAAACCACUGAGCUAAAUCCCUGGCCCUGAGCAGCCUGUUUGGACCAUGAAUUGAAAGGUACAUACUAGAGAAUGGUAGGUAAAUUAUAUACAAGGGGGCUGAGUCCUAAUAUCAUGAAGGACCAGCCCUGUGCUGCUGCUUCAACAUGAGAACAAGAAGGACAACUGAGGUUUCAGGGAACAGGGAGCUAGGGAGAGCCUGGGUCCCUCUUGACAAUGUAGAGUGGCCAUAUUAACUCUGGGGCUUCCAUUACAUGAGAGGAGACACAUACUAUCUUAGGCAAGCCACUAUCUCCUUAGGUAUCCUGUCCCUUCCCAGCCAUCGAACCCCAAGUGAAAGCCAUGAGCCAGCUCCUCCAGGAUGAGGGUAGGGGAGAGCCUGCUAAGCUUUUCCCCCUCCCUGUCCUUGGGGAGUGCUCAGUCAGGAAGGGGCCUAGGAGCUAGGAAGGGGGAGGCAAAGCCUCUUUUCCUCCAGUCCCAGAGGAAUGGGAUGAGUGUGAUCCUGAAAUGAGAUGCAGGGCUUGGGUGUAGUUCAGAGGCAGAAUGUGUGCUUAGCCUGCCGAAAGUCCCAGGUUCCAUCCCUAGAAGCAAAAAAACAAAACAAACAAAACAGCAACCAUGUUAACUACUCUGGCCCCGGGGGAUUACAGGUAAUUUGAGGGUAGAGACCAGCACAAUGCAUAGCAUACAGUAGGUGCUCAAUAAACCUUUGCGGGCUAAUUAUGUGAUAUCCUGUAACCAGCACUCCCUCCACAGUGCAGCUCAGCCUCUCAGACCAACUGUGCAGCUCUGAGUUUUCUCAGUGGAGGAUGUCCCUCUGGGACAAGGUGAUUCAAAGCUUGCGACACAUGGUCAUGCUCAGGGUAGCACUGGCUCCUCACAACUCCAACAACAGGGGCUAUGACUGCAAUCUUCAGAGGAGAAAGCAAGGACCCGGAACUUGGAAACUGCUUGCUCAGGAUCAGCCACGAGGAAGUGCAGGAGCAGGAACUUGAACCCCGGGUUUUGAAUGAAAAACUUCACCUACCUGAAACAAAGGCUGCACAUGAGAUUCUUACACAAAGGCACCCUUUUCCCAACUGCUCAUCCCAACACGGAGGCCCUGGGUCAGGUUUGUGACGUCCUGAGGUGCUGAAGGGGUGGGACAAGGGAGGGGAAAGCUGUCAGGCAAUCCCUCAGCAGCUUGGAGGUCUGGGAGACAGAUUCGACCAGCACUGGUGAUAGCCCAAACAGUGCAUUUGCACAAACAGAACAAGGAACAGAAACUCGAGUUGCUUUACUGCCAUCUACUGGAAAUUUGUCAUAAUAAUCAUUCAAAUUUGUGGUAAAUGGGGAAAAAAAAAGAAGCCUCCCUAGAAUCAUACAGUGUAGAACCUGAACAACAUGUGGAGCAGCCCUAGAUGCACCUUUUCUCACUUGAGAGCAUGAAAAAAAAAAAAAAAAGACCCAUCACCAUGGAGGCUCCAGUCCUGUCUGCUUCCUUCUUGCAUGAGAGUCCCUGGCUCAUCCAGAGGUGCUACAGCCAUCUGCCUGCCCUAGUUUCACCAUGAGACCCAGUAGAAUCCAUGCAUCCUUCCACCCGCUCCAGGCACACGUCCCAGACACCUACGCUGGGCCAGGUACUUAUCUGAAUUUUUCACCAAUUACUAGCUGUGCGUACUUGGACAUUUUCUUAGGCUACUGUCUACUCUUCAGUAUGAAGGGAUAAUAACCCAGCUGGCACUGUGAAUGAGACUUAAGUGAGAUAAUAUAUGUAAAGUCCUAGAAGCCAGUGGCUGACCCUGGACCUACUGCCAGCACCAUUAGAUCUGAGUUACACACAUGCAUGCAUGGGUGGCCAAAGGGAAGACAGGCUCUGGCACAUCUUCCCUCAGAAACAAUCAGGAAACUGUGGCACAAAUGCAUGAAUAUAAAGUUCUCAGUGUGAAGCUGAGCCCAGAGCACAGUGAGUGCCUGGGCACUGGCUUUUCUCCUUUUCCUCUAGUCCUGGCUGGAUCUGAAGCUGGCUAGGUGAGUUCAGGGUCCCUUUGAUUCCCAGGGAGAGAGAACAGUUGCAAGUUUCCUUUACCUGCAGGAAGAGGCUUCCAGACUACUGUGUGGCCAAGCCUCUGGACACCUCCAUGUCUGGCUCAAAGCAAGGCCACAGACCCAUAGAGUUUUAGUUUCUUCAUCCAUGAAAUGAAGCCAGUCAUAUUUACUUUGUAGCCAUUUAGGUAAUGCAAGAAGUAACUAAAAGGCCUCCAACCAUGCUGGAAACAAGCUAAACACAAAAUAAAUUAGAGAUGCAAUCUCAGCUCUGGGACCCAGGGGGCGUCUGGAGCCAGCUGAAGGAUUCUAUUCUCUGCCAUCAAACUGCCUACCACAAUUGGCAUGAGCACUUGAAAUUGCAGGUCCUAAAACUGAUGAGGAGGCAGGAUUGAGCUCACUCCAUCUCGCUCCUCCUAUGGGAGGGAAGUUGGUACACACUUUCCAGUGGGUAGGUAGGCAACAGGAUCCUUUUGACCCAGCCAUUUCAUUUCUAGGAAUUCAGCUAAGGAAAUAGUCACAGGCCCCUCAGAGUGUUGUGCUAGGACAUUCAUUGCAAUGUUGCUAAUAAUAGUGAGAAACUGGAAAUAAUCUAAAGUUAGAGACACAUUCAAUACACAUCUUGGCUGGAUGCCAAAUGGUCAAGUGCUAAGAUCAGUACUCAGCAGAAGCCAAGGCCAACGCUUUCCACCAUCUUCAUGCAGCCAGUGUCUUUGGUAAAGGAGUGAAUUUCAAGAAAAUGUUAUCAGACUUUGCAGUGCCAACAUCCUAAUCGACAUGUUUCACUGCCAGUGUUUGACAGUCUAACGUUACAGCUCAAGAACAGCAUUUUCUCAGUAUUAGCAGAAGAUGGAUUGUUUCUAUGUUAAAUACUGUGCACAUUUGUGUUAAUAAAUUGAUGCUUACAUUGACUGAUGCUUGUGGGAGAGUGUGACGGCCUCAUUUUUUCCCAAUACUUUCUUCUUUUCUCCAUAUUCUGUAUAUUCUUUCCCAUGUUGGGUUAAAUAUGAUUUGCCACAGAAAUAUUGAUCAAAAACUAUAGUCAAUGUUUAAAUAAAAAAUUAUUACAGAAAAGACACAUUGUCAUUAGUCCCCCUCACUUUGAACACACUUAUUCUAUUAUUCUUGCCACUUUCUGAAGCAGUUCUAGAAGUCUUCUUUUGUGAGUGUUUUUUUGUGUGUGAGUGCGUGUGUGUGCCUGCCUCAAUGUCCUGAACUAAUUAAAAAUGUUUACAGCAACUUCUGGC